rnacentral:rRNA from 1 species
UACGGGGGGGAGCAAGCGUUGCUCGGAAUCACUGGGCGUAAAGCGCACGUAGGCGGAUUGCUAAGUCAGGGGUGAAAUCCUGGAGCUCAACUCCAGAACUGCCUUUGAUACUGGCGAUCUCGAGUCCGGGAGAGGUGAGUGGAACUGCGAGUGUAGAGGUGAAAUUCGUAGAUAUUCGCAAGAACACCAGUGGCGAAGGCGGCUCACUGGCCCGGUACUGACGCUGAGGUGGCGAAAGCGUGGGGAGCAAACACGG